rnacentral:rRNA from 1 species
UACGUAGGGUGCAAGCGUUGUCCGGAAUUAUUGGGCGUAAAGAGUUCGUAGGCGGUUUGUCGCGUCGACUGUGAAAACCCGAGGCUUAACCUCGGGCCUGCAGUCGAUACGGGCAGACUAGAGUUCGGUAGGGGAGACUGGAAUUCCUGGUGUAGCGGUGAAAUGCGCAGAUAUCAGGAGGAACACCGGUGGCGAAGGCGGGUCUCUGGGCAACAACUGACGCUGAGGAGCGAAAGCGUGGGGAGCGAACAGG